UUUUCCUUUCUAUUUUUCAAUUUUAGAUAUCUCCCUCUUUCCUUUUCCCUCCCCAGGUGUUUAUGACUGGAAUUUGCUUUGGACUCCAAGGCUGACAUUCUACACAAGGUUUUUAUUAGAGUCCAUAGAAUGCCAAGGUGCCAGGCACAUUCAGCUAAAUAGCAGGUCAGCAUCUCCUAUUAGUGAGGAAAGAUUCCCUAUGUAUAGCUCCUGUGAGCACCAGCAGAAUGUACACAUGAGGGCAUUCCAGGUGAGAAAAAAGUACAACUGAAGGCAAAGAGGUAGAAUUGAGCAUAAUCUAUUGUA
ensembl:lncRNA